rnacentral:rRNA from 1 species
AGAGUUUGAUCAUGGCUCAGAACGAACGCUGGCGGCAGGCUUAACACAUGCAAGUCGAACGCGUGUAGCAAUACACGAGUGGCGCACGGGUGAGUAACGCGUGGAUAUCUGCCUUUUGGUUCGGAAUAACCCUGGGAAACUGGGGCUAAUACCGGAUGGUUCCUUCGGGAUAAAGAUUUAUCGCCAAAAGAUGAGUCCGCGUACGAUUAGCUAGUUAGUGAGGUAAUGGCUCACCAAGGCGACGAUCGUUAGCUGGUCUGAGAGGACGAUCAGCCACACUGGGACUGAGACACGGCCCAGACUCCUACGGGAGGCAGCAGUGGGGAAUAUUGGACAAUGGGGGCAACCCUGAUCCAGCCAUGCCGCGUGAGUGAUGAAGGCCUUCGGGUUGUAAAGCUCUUUUGGCGGGGACGAUGAUGACGGUACCCGCAGAAUAAGCCCCGGCUAACUUCGUGCCAGCAGCCGCGGUAAGACGAAGGGGGCUAGCGUUGUUCGGAAUUACUGGGCGUAAAGCGAGUGUAGGUGGUUGUCAUAGUCAGGUGUGAAAGCCUUGAGCUCAACUCAAGAAAUGCACUUGAUACUGGGCGACUAGAGGACCGGAGAGGAUAGUGGAAUUCCCAGUGUAGUGGUGAAAUACGUAGAGAUUGGGAAGAACACCAGUGGCGAAGGCGGGUCUCUGGGCAACAACUGACGCUGAGGAGCGAAAGCGUGGGGAGCGAACAGGAUUAGAUACCCUGGUAGUCC